UACGUAGGGUCCGAGCGUUGUCCGGAAUUACUGGGCGUAAAGAGCUCGUAGGUGGUUUGUCGCGUUGUUCGUGAAAACUCACAGCUCAACUGUGGGCGUGCGGGCGAUACGGGCAGACUAGAGUACUGCAGGGGAGACUGGAAUUCCUGGUGUAGCGGUGGAAUGCGCAGAUAUCAGGAGGAACACCGGUGGCGAAGGCGGGUCUCUGGGCAGUAACUGACGCUGAGGAGCGAAAGCCGUGGGGAGCGAACAGG
rnacentral:rRNA from 1 species